UUUAAGUUUAACCUGCCCACUGAAAUUUUAAAUGGCCGCAGUAUUUUAACUGUGCAAAGGUAGCAUAAUCAUUAGUCUUUUAAUUGAAGGCUGGAAUGAAUGGUUGGACGAAAUAUUAACUGUUUCAUUAAAAAUUUUUAUAGAAUUUUAUUUUUUAAUCAAAAAGUUAAAAUAAUUUUAAAAGACGAGAAGACCCUAUAAAUCUUUAUAUUUAUUAAAAUUUUUAUUUAUAAGAUUAUUUUUAUAAUAAUAGUAGUAAAUAUUUUAUUGGGGUGAUAUUAAAAUUUAAUGAACUUUUAAUUUUUAAAAUACAUUAAUUUAUGAAUAAUUGAUCCAUUAAUAAUGAUUAAAAAAUUAAGUUACUUUAGGGAUAACAGCGUAAUUUUUUUGGAGAGUUCAUAUCGAUAAAAAAGAUUGCGACCUCGAUGUUGGAUUAAGAUAUAAUUUUGGGUGUAGCCGUUCAAAUUUUAAGUCUGUUCGACUUUUAAAUUCUUACAUGAUCUGAGUUCAAACCGGUGUAAGCCAGGUUGGUUUCUAUCUUUAAAAAUUUAUAAUAUUUUAGUACGAAAGGAUUAAAUAUUAAAAUAAUUUUAUUUUAUAUAAGAAUAUUAAUAAUUU
rnacentral:rRNA from 1 species